rnacentral:tRNA from 1 species
GCCGCCCUAGCUCAAUUGGUAGAGCAGCCGUUUCGUAAUCGGCAGGUUGGGAGUUCGAGCCUCCCGGGUGGCUC